rnacentral:rRNA from 1 species
AUUGAACGCUGGCCGCAUGCUUUACACCUGCACGUCGACCGGUAACAGCCCGCACGUUGCUGACUACUGGCGAACGUGUGAUUAAUGCCUCCGCACGUGCCCAGUCGUGGGUGAUAACUACUCGACCUAGUAGCUAAUACCCCCUACCAUCUCUGCAUGCCAGCUGGCGACCGUCAGCCCUCGCGCGAUUGGCGCCGGCGAUGUCCGAUUAGGUAGUUGGUGGGGUCAAAGCUCACCAAGCCAACGAUCUGUAGCCGGUCUGAGAGGACGACCAGCCACCCUGGGACUGAGACACGGCGCAGACGCGUACGGGAGGCAGCAGUGGGGAAUUUUGGACAAUGGGCGCAAGCCUGAUCCAGCAAUGCCGCGUGAAGGAAGAAGGCCUUCGGGGUGGAAACUGCUUUUGUACGGAACGAAACGGCUCCGGUUAAUACCCGGGGCUAAUGACGGUACCGUAAGAAUAAGCACCGGCUAACUACGAG